UUUGGUGAUCAUAGCGCCAAUGAAACACCCGAUCCCAUCCCGAACUCGGAAGUUAAGCA
rnacentral:rRNA from 2 species